AGUGAACGCUGGCGGUAGGCUUAACACAUGCAAGUCGAACGGCAGCACAGUAAGAGCUUGCUCUUACGGGUGGCGAGUGGCGGACGGGUGAGGAAUACAUCGGAAUCUACUUUUUCGUGGGGGAUAACGUAGGGAAACUUACGCUAAUACCGCAUACGACCUACGGGUGAAAGCAGGGGAUCUUCGGACCUUGCGCGACUGAAUGAGCCGAUGUCGGAUUAGCUAGUUGGCGGGGUAAAGGCCCACCAAGGCGACGAUCCGUAGCUGGUCUGAGAGGAUGAUCAGCCACACUGGAACUGAGACACGGUCCAGACUCCUACGGGAGGCAGCAGUGGGGAAUAUUGGACAAUGGGCGCAAGCCUGAUCCAGCCAUACCGCGUGAGUGAAGAAGGCCUUCGGGUUGUAAAGCCCUUUUGUUGGGAAAGAACAGCAGCAGGUUAAUACCCCGCUGUUCUGACGGUACCCAAAGAAUAAGCACCGGCUAACUUCGUG
rnacentral:rRNA from 1 species